UCAGCCACGACAUCACCUGAGGCUACCGUCGGCUUCCACGUGGAUCAGGGCCGCUGGCCUUCCCGAGGGACCCGACCGGCCGGCAGGGGGCAGUACAUAUCAGAGACCGGCUGGCAGGUGGCAUUAGAGGUCAGAGAUCGGCCGGCAGGUGGCAGUACAAGUCAGAGACCGGCCGGCAGGUGGCAGUAGAGGAGUGCGGGGGGCCGGCGGCGGCGUGGCUACCCGGAUGGUGGUGGGGCUGGUUGCACUGGGCCUCUCACUUUCUCCUCCUCUUUUUCUUAGUUGCAUGUUUUUUGAUUUACAUUGUUUGUUGUGGAUGCGGCGCUGGAGGGAGGGAGGGCCAUGUCCUAGAGUUUGUCCCCCCCCUUUUCCCUUCUUAGCCCGCUGCAGCCUACGGCCCCAAUAGAAUCAAAUUUUCUUUUUAUUCUUUGACGACAUUCCCAGAGCUGACGGGAAUUAUUGAAAUGAAUUGUUUCGUACCUGUUGAUAUUUUAAGAAACUCAAAUAAAUAUUGUGCUCUGGGGGAAUAUUGUUGCUUUGGUCUGUUUACACUGGUGGUCUGUGGGUCCGUGGUGGAUUAAUAUCCCUACGGGACGAUAACCGUACCUACCGGCGGUUACACAUUCAAGCAGAUCGAGUACAGACGUAUGCCGAGUUAUCCUGUUUUUGAGGGGCGGGAUGAGGCUCGACCCUUGUGUUUG
ensembl:lncRNA